CCCGCGCACCGCUCCGCCGCUCUUUUCGCCGCAAGGCGGAAGGGGAGGAAAGUCCGGGCAGCAUAGGGCACCGUGCUUCCUAACGGGAAGGGGCGCCGCCGGCAACGGCGGCGUUACGGAAAGUGCAACAGAGAGCAGACCGCCGAUGGCCGCAAGGCACAGGCAAGGGUGAAAGGGUGGUGCAAGGGACCACCGCGCCCCCAGUGAUGGGGGCGGCAUGGCAAACCCCACGGGCUGAAAGACCAAAUAAGCCGGGGCUUCUGCCUUCGGGCAGGAAAAGGGCGGCCCGCCCGAUCCCGGCGGGUAGGUCGAUAGAGGCCGUGCGUGAGCACGGUCCCAGAUAAAUGGCGGAGCCCCGCGUGCUUGCACACGGGGACAGGAUCCGGCUUACAGGUGCGCGGGUAUU
rnacentral:RNase_P_RNA from 1 species